rnacentral:rRNA from 1 species
AUUGAACGCUGGCGGCAGGCCUAACACAUGCAAGUCGAACGGUAACAGGAAUCAGCUUGCUGAUUUGCUGACGAGUGGCGGACGGGAGAGUAAUGUCUGGGAAACUGCCUGAUGGAGGGGGAUAACUACUGGAAACGGUAGCUAAUACCGCAUAACGUCGCAAGACCAAAGAGGGGGACCUUCGGGCCUCUUGCCAUCGGAUGUGCCCAGAUGGGAUUAGCUAGUAGGUGGGGUAAAGGCUCACCUAGGCGACGAUCCCUAGCUGGUCUGAGAGGAUGACCAGCCACACUGGAACUGAGACACGGUCCAGACUCCUACGGGAGGCAGCAGUGGGGAAUAUUGCACAAUGGGCGCAAGCCUGAUGCAGCCAUGCCGCGUGUAUGAAGAAGGCCUUCGGGUUGUAAAGUACUUUCAGCGGGGAGGAAGGGAGUAAAGUUAAUACCUUUGCUCAUUGACGUUACCCGCAGAAGAAGCACCGGCUAACUCCGUG